AAGCAGGCACUUAACAGAGGGGCUGCACCAAGCAGCCCUGAGAAAAGCUUUUAAUGAGGUAAAAAGUGAAGACUUCAAGGGCAGCAGCGGUGGUAAAUGUCUUCUGACAUUCUCUGCUGCAGCUCCAGCUCUCCCCAGCGGCGCUGUAAACUCCAGAGCCCUGGUUGCCGGGUACCUACAGCGGAGGCUCCGGUUUUCUUCAUGUUAGACACACACGGCUGGGGCUCUCCAGGAUCGCGGGGCCGCGCUUCGGGAGGUGGGUAAGUCCCACAGGCCAGGGUACAGCAAAAAGAUAGAAGGCAGCCAGGAGUCCAGCGGGGACAGCGUUCACAGCGUCAGCAGUGAAGCAGUGACGUCAUCUACCCCCGACCCUGUGGCCAGAAACCGAGUUUUAGGUGAAGGUAUAAAGGUCACACAAUUGAUUGGAUCCUGGCUGUGUGCAAUGAAAGUGUUUCAACUGACUUCAAAAUAAAUGCACCUGUCUGUGGGAGCUCUCACAGUUGGUGAUUGUAUUUACAAACAAAGACUUCACCGUGAACAUCAAAGAAUAUUUAAAGCAAAUUUGAAAAAAAGAAAGUAAUUGAAAAGGACCAACUGGUUGAAAUAUAUAAGAAGAUUUCAAAGACUUUAAAUCCUCUAGAAAACUGCUUAGGCUGUGCAGUGUUUUCAACAGUGCUUUUUUUUUAGUGUUCUUAAAUUUUACGAAAACUGAGACCUUAUUCAGGACUUAGGAUGAAAACAGAAGGAAACCAUUUAACCCAUCAUCUCUGAAACUAUGGAACUACCAACAUUUCCAAUCUGCCUUUUGCCCUCAUGCAAACUCAUCAUUGAAAUGUAGUUUAUUUUAUUGUUACUCAAACAUAUUACAAAUUGCUCUUCAGCAGCUAACCAGAUGUAGACUUGAUGAUGCUCAGGUGUAAACCUGUGUCUUAAUCAGACAGGGGCGGAACUGUGGGAGGCAGUGGAGUCGGCUGCCAUCGGGCUCCUGAUCUCAAGGGGGCACUUCUCCACUGUCUCCCGCUGACGAUCGCUCGCUGCUACUUUUUUUUUUAAAUUAUUCCUACAGACGGAGGAGCUGUGUCCGUGACACGGAAGCUGCUUCCUGUGUAUACAGAGAGCUGGCUCUGGCUGCAGCUCCUCCCGGGCCCUUCCAGUUAAGCAAGCCAGCCACGUGAAGCUCUCUGCUCCUCCAUCAGGCUGAUUAUAGCCAAAGGUAGGCACUGGCCUCAAGCUGCACUAUGG